AGAGUUUGAUCAUGGCUCAGGUUGAACGCUGGCGGUGCGUUUAAUACAUGCAAGUCGAACGAGAUCUUUGAAGAGUUUACUUUUUAAAGUGACAGUGGCGGACGAGCGAGUAACACGUAAGUAGUUGCCUUGUACUCAGGGAUAACUAGUCGAAAGAUUAGCUAAUACCGGAUAGUCCCGAAAGGGUAAAGAUUUAUCGGUACAAGAGACGCUUGCGGCCUAUCAGUUUGUUGGUGAGGUAAUGGCUUACCAAGACUAUGACGGGUAUCUGGUGUGAGAGCACGACCAGACGCGAUGGGACUGAGACACGGCCCAUACUCCUACGGGAGGCAGCAGUAGAGAAUCUUCCGCAAUGGACGAAAGUCUGACGGAGCGACACCGCGUGGUGGAUGAAGCUUUUCGGAGUGUAAACACCUUUUAUGAGGGAAGAAAAUCUGACGGCACCUCAUGAAUAAGGACCGGCUAAUUACGUGCCAGCAGCCGCGGUAAUACGUAAGGUCCAAGCGUUAACCGGAAUUAUUGGGCGUAAAGCGUCCGCAGGCGGUUUGCCAAGUUGAUUAUUAAAUACCGACGCUCAA
rnacentral:rRNA from 1 species